UACGAAGGGGGCUAGCGUUGCUCGGAAUCACUGGGCGUAAAGCGCACGUAGGCGGACUCUUAAGUCGGUGGUGAAAUCCUGGAGCUCAACUCCAGAACUGCCUUCGAUACUGAGAGUCUUGAGUCCGGGGAGAGGUGAGUGGAACUGCGAGUGUAGAGGUGAAAUUCGUAGAUAUUCGCAAGAACACCAGUGGCGAAGGCGGCUCACUGGCCCGGUACUGACGCUGAGGUGCGAAAGCCAGGGGAGCAAACGGGG
rnacentral:rRNA from 1 species